CUUCCCGGGUGCUAAGUUGUAUCGCGAGAUUUCGGCCUCGCUAUUACCUGGGCCGCGGGGAUUGCUCACCCUUUUUUUCUGCGCGGUUGGAAGACGCAAGGUGGUUCUCGGGAGUUGGAGAACUGAGGUCGGGAUAUUGAAAACUUUAAAACAAAGAACAACUGAUGGAUAAAUCAGGAAUCGAUUCUCUUGACUAUGUGACAUCUGAUGCUAUGGAACCUGCAAAUCAAAGUGAUAACUCUUCUGAUAGCAGCUUAUUUAAAACCCAGUGUGUCCCUUACUCGCCUAAACAGGGGCAAAGAAACCCCAUUAGAAAAUGUGUUCGUACACCUGGAAAUGUUCAAGCAAGUGAUUCAUCAAGUGACUCAUCUUUUGAACCAAUACCAUUGACUAUGAAAGCUAUUUUUGAAAGAUUCAAGAACAGGAAAAAGAAGUACAAAAAAAAGAAAAAGAGGUACCAGCCAACAGGAAGACCAAGGGGAAGACCAGAAGGAAGGAGAAAUCCUUUAUGCUCACUGAUAGACAAGAAGAAAGAGUUUAGAAGCAGAGGACCUGGCUUCCCAUUUUUAGAAUCAGAGAAUGAAAAAAAGGCACCUUGGAAAAAAAUUUUAACAUUUGAGCAAGCUGUUGCAAGAGGAUUUUUUAACUACAUUGAAAAACUGAAGUAUGAACACCAUCUGAAAGAAUCCUUGAAACAAAUGAAUGUUGGUGAAGAUUUAGAAAAUGAAGAUUUUGAUAGUCGUAGAUACAAAUAUUUGGAUGAUGAGGGAUCCAUUUCUCCUAUUGAAGAGUCAACAGCAGAGGAUGAGGAUACAACACACCUUGAAGAUGAUGAAUGUGAUAUCAAAUUGGCAGGGGAUAGUUUCAUAGUAAGUUCUGAAUUCCCUGUAAGACUGAGUGUAUACUUAGAAGAAGAAGAUACUAUUGAAGAAGCUGCUUUGUCUAAAAAGAGAGCUACAAAAGCCAAAAAUACUGGACAGAGAGGCCUGAAAAUGUGACAGAAUCAUUAAUGUCAAAGGCUUUUAUCUUGAGAACAUGAUGUCUGGAGUUAAAGGUACGUCUCAAUUUUAGUUUUUCAGAUUGUAUUCGUUUAUGUGUAGGAAAUCAAUAGUAUGUUGUCAGGGCAAUCAAGUUUCAUUUUAUUCAGAGAAAACUGUAGCAUGCUUCUAAUUCCCAGAUACUGGUUUCUGAAAAGAAAGGAAUCUUAGAUUCACACAUUUUAUAGUGAUGUGUCAGAUUCAUUUUAGUUGCAAGCAUUAGAGGGUCCUGAAUUUGUUAGUUUGUAGCAGUAAUCAGAACUUUGGAUUUCCUACUUGAGGCAUACAGCAUUAUUCUGAAUUAAUGCAUAAUCUAAAAUGAGGUAGAAGAUGUUAUAGUUUAAUGCAAGAUUUAGUAUAAUAGAAAUUGGCUGGGCUCAGUGGCUCAUGCCUGUAAUCCUAGCACUCUGGGAGGCCAAGGUGAUUGGAUCACAAGGUCAGGAGUUUGAGACCAGCCUGACCAAAAAGAUGAAACCCCGUCUCUACUAAAAAUACAAAAAUUAGCCAGGUGUGGUGGCAUGGGCCUGUAAUUCCAGCUACUCAAGAUGGCUGAGGCAGGAGAAUCACUUGAACUUGGGAGGUGGAGGUUGCAGUGAGCCAAGAUCCUGCCAUUGCACUGUAGCCUGAGUGACAAAGCAAGAAUCUGUCUCAAAAAAAUAAUUACACAGGUCAUAAGAAUUCAUAAAUUUGAAUGAUGUAGUUUGAUUAAAAGUUAUAAUGCCAAAGUCAUAAUGUGUACACAUUAUAUUGUAUUUUAUAAUGGAUGACAACUAAUUCUGAGCCAAGAAUUAUAUUUUUAUUUAUCAUUCUGUACUCUGUCCUAUGCAGCUUGGUGAAAAUCCUUACAAUGUGAUUGUGAAAUGAUUGCUUUUCUGAUAAACGUGGUAGGAAGUUUUUGCAGUUUGCAGUAUUGUAAGAGACUGGGGCAUAUUGCAGUUUCUGCUCAUACCUAUGGAGUAGUGUUAGACUUCCGUUAUUUAUACAUAUAUAUAUAUAUACAUAUUAGCUGGGCACAUGGUGCCUAUGGUCUCCAGCUACUCUGGAGGCUAAGGCAGAAUCACUGAGUCCAGGAGUUUGAGACUACAGUGAGAUGUGAUCCUGUAGAUCUCACUGUAGCCUCAAACCUGGGCUCAAAUGAUUCAGCAAGAAUCAGAUGAUUUUUUUAAAAGACAUGGCAGAUAUUGUGUCUUUAAAAAAACUUUGUAUAGUGGUUGAGGUCUAUCCCGAUGGGGCUUUGCAUGUAGCCUGCACGUCGUUGGAAACGCCUCAUAGAGUAACUCUGUGGUGACCUUACUCACAGGACUAUUGUUAGAUCUGUGGAAAGGAAUGGCAAGACAGCUCCUACAAGUUUUAGUUACUACAUGUAUGAAAGACCUGAUAGUCUACUUUUUUACCUUAGGUAUUGGCGUAUUUCCACGCCUGUACUAUUCUUGAGUGUGACUGCUUAGGUAAGUUUUAAUUGGAGACAGUAUCAUCUUGGGAAAUAUGAUUACAGUUCAGAUGAUGAAUUUAACUGUUCAACUGCUGAAUGAUACAGGCAUGAACUAAAACUUAAUUCUGAUAGAGCUGGAUAUGGUUAUAUUAUAAACCUAGAUCUUAAAUUUUUAUUUGGAUUUUAGUUUCAGUAACUAGAAAUGUGGUAUCUUUUCUAAAUCUUUAAUUGGUACUUUCUAUAGGAAUGAAUAUGAUUUGAACUCAUUCAUGUUGAAAGUUUGAGCAACAAUGAGCUUGAUGUGGCCGGGCACAGUGGCUGACACCUGUAACCCCAGCACUUUGGGAGACAGGCGGGCAGAUCAGGAUUUUGAGACCAUCCUUGCUAUCAUGAUGAAACCUUGUCACUAAGUGAGCUUGACGUUUGUAGUAUCUGUUAAGUUACAUGUAUAUAUUCCAUCUGUAAGUUAUAUAGAGAGACUGGGCAAAGAUUAGAGUUGUAGCUUUAAAAUGCAGUUAAUGUAGUUUUCUGUAUUACAGUGACAAUUAGGAAUAAAGGUCAAAAUAUUGAACCUGUUAGGGGAAUCUGAAAUUGAGAAGUUUGGAAAGUGUUUCUCAGCAGCAACACUGCAAAGUUGGGGCUACAAAAGUUGUACAGUUCAGUUAUAAUUGCACUGCAUGGUAUCUGCACUCAGCAGUUUAUUCCUGCUAGGGUGUUCAAAGGUCAGUGCUAUAGAAAUUCAGUAUCUGGCAUCGUUGGUUUUCUUGGCUUUGUGCUUGUUAAACCUGGUAUUUCUAUUGAUACAGUAUUUGUAUAGGUUUCUCAGAGUGUUAAUUUUGAUAUACUCUAAAACAGUAAGCAGCGCUUUUCUUUUUCCAGGGUGUCAAAUUGAGAACCAGGCAGAUCCACCACCUACAAUAAAAAGUUCAACUUCUAGGACCCUAAAGUAAAUUGGUUGAAGAAAGUAGAUCCCAAAGAUUCUUGGUGAAUUUUGAAGUCUUCAUCAGUAUAUCCGUAUUAAAAGGAGAUGACGGAAGCCAAAAUAAAUUAAUGGCAAGUAAUGGUUUUUAUCUUAACCAUAAGCUAUUUGGCCAAGGGCAUAAUGGUCAUUACCAAGGCUUUUAGAAUGCUGUUUCUCAUUUGCUGUGGACAUGACCAUAAAAAAAAAUUCCCAGUAGGUUUUCUAUCUGCUACCUUGCUAGCAAUCAGCCUCUUGGGAACAUUUGAUUAACUGUAAUAGAAAUGCAAUACAAGUAUAAUGUGAGCUAUGUGUGUUGUUGUUUUUUUUUCCCCUAAUAUCAAUGACAUUUUAAAAUUCUUUAGGCGGUGCAGCCUAGAUCUCUUGAAUCAUGCAAAUGUGCUUUGCCCCUCUGUAUUGUAACCCUUGUGGGUUGCUAAUAAUUAAGCAGUUCGUAUGUAGCAGUUAGCUUAGGCUGGUUCUAGGACGCAUUCAUGUUCAUUCACUGUACAAUCAUCUCUGGAAAUGUAAAAUUCACUUUUAUUACUAUUUAGGGCUGACAGGACAACUGGAUUAAAGCAAGCAUCAGCUUCAUUAAAAAGGGCUAACUUGCAGCUCUUUAGAGGAUCUAAAGUGACUUUGAUGGACAGUGGAAGAAACCACAACAUGGAAUUCUUUGAAUAAAAAUUUAUUGACUUUAAAUAUACACAAUUUAAAAAAAACUGUUUACACUUUCUAAAAGUCAGCAUGUAUUUUUGGCUCGAAGUUUCUCUAAUGUUUUCUGUGGAAGGAAUAAAAAUUUCACAGUUUUAGUUGUGUA